rnacentral:rRNA from 1 species
GUGAGGAAUUUUCCGCAAUGGGCGAAAGCCUGACGGAGCAAUGCCGCGUGAAGGAUGAAGGCCUAUGGGUUGUAAACUUCUUUUCUUAGAGAAGAAUAUUGACGGUAUCUGAGGAAUAAGCAUCGGCUAACUCUGUGCCAGCAGCCGCGGUAAGACAGAGGAUGCAAGCGUUAUCCGGAAUGAUUGGGCGUAAAGCGUCUGUAGGUGGCUUCAAAAGUCUCCUGUCAAAUAUCAGGGCUUAACCCUGGGCCGGCAGGAGAAACUCUGAGGCUAGAGUUUGGUAGGGGCAGAGGGAAUUCCCGGUGGAGCGGUGAAAUGCGUAGAGAUCGAGAGGAACACCAAAGGCGAAAGCACUCUGCUGGGCCACAACUGACACUGAGAGACGAAAGCGAGGGGAGCAAAAGGGAUUAGAAACCCCAGUAGUCC